rnacentral:lncRNA from 15 species
AUAAGACCUGACAGUCCGAAAGACUUUACUUAAGACUUGAAGCCACAAAGUUGAUCAGAUUUGGUAGCCCAGAGCAGUAAAUAUCAAAAAGUGCUGCACAUGCAGUUUUGCCGUUAUGAACAGUGCAUGAAAAAUUGAUACUGUAAUGAGAAUGGGCAUGCCAGUGCUUCCAUAGCCUAAAAAUAACACAUGUGACACACAAUCACAUCACGUGCACCAGCUGGCAUAAACUCUACAUUCAGAUUAGAGAAAUUAGCCUAUCACUAUAAAAUUGAUUACAUAAAAUGAGUAGCUUAAUAGUUUCCCCCUCUUGUAUACAUAACAGAUGAAUGUCGCUUGCUCCUACUCCGUACUUUUAGUUGUUUUUUGUUAUUGUUUGUCUUAAAUGAUGGGUUUUUAUACCAUUAAACAUGAUCUAUUAUUGAUGUCUUAUCACUUUUUACAUUGAACCAAACUUGGUAAAAGCAAUAAUAAUAAAAAUUGUAUUGUGAGGUUUUUGAUAGGAGUGUCUUCUUUUGGUUUAUUCUAUAAAGAAAAAUCAAGUUACUGCCAUCACAUUGAAGGAAAAUUCUUGAAAAUUAUUUAUUUCUGCUCAUUGUUUUGCAUCAUAAUUCAGUCAAACAUCCAUAAAGGGAAAUCAAGUAUAAAAUGGUAAUAUAAAUGGUAUAUCAAAAUCUGCCAAUUGACAAGUUUCUGUCAUGGCUCCGCUCCCCUCCUGCUCCCUUUGCUCCUCCCCCUUCCCCUGUGUGCCUGAGGGUGCGGCCUCCAUUCUCCUCACCUGCUGUCUCACCUGCUCUCAAUCAUUCAUCAUGCCUCAGCCUUCAAGAACCCGGUUUUCCUCCCACUCAUCGCCAGAUUGUUUCAGCCUAUGUGGUGGGUCCCUUGUGCUGUUUGGCUUCCUGUGUCCGCUCUCCUGUGCCUCUGUGUCUCCGGUCUCUUCCGCCAUCUCACCCACCCGUUCCUGCUCUGGCCGCCCCUCAUCCCCCCUGUGUGUGUGCGUGUGCGUGGAAUAAAACCCCCUUUAAACCUUCCAUACUGUCUGGGUGUCUGCUCCUGGGUCCAGUCCCAACACCAGCCUUGUCAGUUUCUGUUUUAUCACAGUACUGUAUGUUGUCAAAUUGCCAAACUCUGGUACCAGGGUUUAUAAGAGAUAAUGUAUAUUUAAUGAUGUAUGUCAUUAAACAUAUAAUAUGUAAUGUUUCCUUAUUAAAAUGUCUAUAAACGACUUGGUCUACA